UACGUAGGGAGCUAGCGUUGCUCGGAAUUACUGGGCGUAAAGCGCACGUAGGCGGCUCUUUAAGUCGGGGGUGAAAUCCUGGAGCUCAACUCCAGAACUGCCUUCGAUACUGAAGAGCUUGAGUCCGGGAGAGGUGAGUGGAACUGCGAGUGUAGAGGUGAAAUUCGUAGAUAUUCGCAAGAACACCAGUGGCGAAGGCGGCUCACUGGCCCGGUACUGACGCUGAGGUGCGAAAGCGUGGGGAGCAAACAGG
rnacentral:rRNA from 1 species